rnacentral:lncRNA from 1 species
AUGCUCAGUGGGAAAGUAGCAUCAGUUGUUCCAAUCUCAUAUAGACUAAUCUUAUAGCAGCAAAUCUAGGACCUGGUCCCUAAUCAAAAGUAUAAAAGGUUUUAAGCUCACUAUGGGGUGAUAAAAUGGGUGUUUGCUCCUGAACCCUCACUGGUGGAUGACUACAAAGGAGACAGGCCUGAUAACUGGCUCUACCUCCCAUACUACUUUUGAAGACUUCAGGUACCAUAAGCAUGCCUGCACUCUAGGACACAUUUCGACUUCCUUAUACCCAUCAGCUGUUUUAGCAUUCUUUCAGCAGAUUUUUUGGACUUUUUGGGCUAAACUAGUUCUUCAAGUCUACACACUGUGCACCAAAAGAGUUUUUUUGUGUUAUUUAUGGUCUCUUCUCAACAGCUCUCCUCGCCUAAACUCCUUUACAACAGCUGUAAAAUCAAACCACCUUGUAAAAGUUUUAAACACAGUUUAAAAAGAGAUUCUCCAAUUUCAGCCUGAUGUAAGACCCUGCCCUUUACUCCAGUUUUCUGAGGAUAUCUGUAUGUUUUAAGAAGUGUGUCUUGUAGUGUAAAGGGUAACUUUUUGGAGUAUUAGAUAUGGUCAGACUCUGACAUUUGCUGCUCCAUUUAUAUCAGAGCACUGCCACAGGAAUUCAACCACGCAUGGAUAUGAGCUCAGAAACCAAUGAGCAAAUGUUGUUAUGCUGCUGUAUUUUUUAUGAUGUCAGAUAUUAGAGAAAGGGGGGUUUCUUAAUGAAAUCUGAUGCAUGUGGUCUGCCCCUGAGGCGAACGGCUUUGACUCAGUGGAAACAUUCAGGACUGGAUGGUAAUCAGCAGAAGUGAAACAACGAGGGUGACUCAUAAUUCAAGAACUUCAGCGGAGAGAAAGCGGCUUUUUUUCCAUUGAAAAAAAAUGUGCUUGUUUUUCUAUUUGCUUGUUCUUUACUUCAUUACAAAGCUCUUUAAAUAACAACUUUCACUUAAUCUGUUUUCAAAGUUUGGUAAAAGCCCAAAAAGUAUUCCUCACCCGACCUUCUUCUACCAGUUUCAAUCUUUAUCAGAAUCAGAAGACGGACUGUGCAGAUGAGCAGAUGUUGCAUUUCCACAUGUGUUUCAUGUGUUUCGAUUACGUAUUGACUUCCUGUUCUUAUGAGUAGACUGAACCAGUGUUUACCAAAUGACUAACCACUCUCAUGUUGACGUUUGAUGAUGCCGCUUGGUAUCGGUGGAUUUGAUUCGCAAAGGUUAAACUUUUUACAUUUUUAAAAAACUUUUAAAAUUAAUUCACAAACUGUGUUUUGGCUUUUUUGAAAAUUGUUAUUUGGACUCCAGUAACAAAGCUGUUGCACUUUUUUGUUGAAAAUUUGUUUUGAACUUUAUUUUGGGCAUUUUUAUUCAGAGUUUUAUUUGCAAAAUUAUAUAUAGGUUGUAUUUAUAAACAUAAGUUAUUUAUAUACUCAUUAGUUGGAUAUUUUGACUCUAAUAACAAAACUGUUUCACCUUUUUCUUAACUUUCCAACAUUUUUGUUGAUAUUUUGACCUUAUUCACAAAAUUGUAUCUUUCCCUUGUGUUGGUAAUUCAGGUGAUGAUUCAGAAAAUGGUUUUCAACUUAGUUCUAAAUAAUUUGACUUUCUCGAAACAUUUAAACUCCUACACAGUUUCUCACGGGUUAUGAAACUGAAAUCAACACGGAUGCGUCUCUAUGAUGUACAAAAGCAAAUAAGCCAACAACAACAAGACUGAGAAUACCUGUAUCAAAAUUUUCAUGCCUGUUACUUCCAUGGAGAGGUAGGCAUUCUAAAGAAAUAGCUUUUGUUACUUUUUCCACUGCGAAUGUUCACAGUGAGUGAUCAUUGUUACCGUAACAAGACAGCAGGAAGAGGUGUCUUGUACAUUUUCGGAGAACGAAAUGAGUCAUCAACCAUAAAAGGACUACCAAUUUGUCCACAGGGGGCGCCAAAAUCCCCACAUACAGAAAGCUAUCGGACACCAUCAGCAGGUUAUUUUUGGUUACUGGUAUCAACUCCAACAACCCUCCUUUCACUGACUUCACCUCUCUCUCCACCCUCCUCCCUUCCUCCC